rnacentral:tRNA from 1 species
GGGCCUAUAGUAUAGUGGCAGAACGCCUCCAUGGCAUGGAGGAGGUGGGGGUUCGAUUCCCCCUAGGUCCA